rnacentral:lncRNA from 1 species
UUUUGUAUGUGGCUUCUUUCACUUAGCAAGGUAUUUUCAAAGUUCAUCCACAUUGUAGCAUGUAUCAACAAUUUAUUCCUUUUCAUGACUGAAUAAUAUUCCAUUGUAAGGAUAUACCACAUUGUGUUUAUCCAUUCAUGCGUUGAUAGAUCCAUCUUGGAGAAAGAUCAAUCUUGGAUCAAUCUUGGAGAAAGAUCGGCAAAGACCUAAAGGAUGGAACAGCUCUGGCCAAGGGACUAACACAUGCAGAGGCCUGAGAUGGAGAUGAAAACUGCAGGAAAGUGGAGACCUCGCUGGAUGAACCAGGAGCAAAAAGAUUGGAUGUCAAGGAAAAGGUAACACCUCCUGCUUGGUACUACAGACAUACCUAGUUUUAUUGCACUUCACAGAUAUUGCAUUUUUACAAAUGGAAGGUUUGCGGCAACCCUGCAUCGAGCAAGUCUAUUGGCACCAUUUUUUCCAACAGCAUUUGCUCACUUCAUGCCUCUGUGUCACAUUUUGGUAAUUCUUGCAAUAUUUCAAACUUUUACAUUAUUGUUAUAUUUGUUAUGGUGAUCUGUGAUCAGUAAUCUUUGAUGAUAGUAUUGUAAUCUUUCUUGGGCGCCAUGAACAGUGCACAUACAAGACAACAAACUUAAUCGAUAAAUGUUGUGUGUGUUCUGGCCGCUCCACCAACUGGCCGUUUUCGCGUCUCGCUCCCUCUCCUCGGGCCUCCCUAUUCCCUGAGACACA